AUACGAGACAGUGUCAAAGUACUGUGGCUAUCCUCCUCGAUCAUUACCUAAGUUCACAAUGCCAUGUACUCGCAUGUGUGCACAAACCUAAUCGAUCACCUUCUUCUUCUUCUUUAGUUCAAGGAUCAUGCAUGAAGAUAUUUCGUCGACCAACCACUUCUAUUGGCACUGGAAAGAGUUGCAUUGCUAAUCUUGAACUCUAACAAUGAAUUUAUUCUCAACUACUCGAUCUGUACGUGUGAUUAACUUCACAAUCUUGAACCACAUGCAGGUACAAAUGACCUGUAUGUAUCGAGUUACACAAGAAAACAACGACCUGAAUACGAGAGCUUUGUAGUUUGUACGUACUAUACAUGUAUAACAGCUCACUUCAUUCUCAACUCCAUGCAUGAGAUCGAUUAGCUUAACAGUCUUGACCACACGUACAAUGACUUGGAUUGAGUUGUAUCACAACAAAACAGUUACAGCUAUCGCAUCAAGCUUAGCUAUAUAUGGAUAGUAUUUUUUUAUUUUUUUGGGUCUGAAACAUACUUAUAUUAAGCCACCAAGGCAAAGAAGAAUACAACAGGAAUAUGUUGAGAUAUCAAUCCCACAUCAGAAAUAUGAAACUUUGCCUGUGGAUUUAUAAGGGUUUGGGCAACUCUAUCUAUCACCAAUUGAUUUUGGAUGUGAACUCAAGACUACUUUAUCAUGAUAUCAGAGCGGGUUACCCACGUCCACGUGUGAAACCCAAUGACCACACGUACUCCACGUCAUCCAAAUAUUGUCCACGUGUUAGGCUUGAAAAUUCACCAACCUGCGGGGACGUGUUGAGUUAUUAAUCCCACAUCGGGAAUAUGAGACAUUGUCUGUGGAUUUAUAAGGGUUUGGGCAACUUUCAACCAUUGCCAAUUGGUUUCAAAACAACUAAAAAAAAGAAAAGCACAAUAGUAACCAUUACAAAACAGUAACAUCAACCGGUGGACCAGGGAGUCCAUUAUUUCUCAUAACAGAAACAAUAGAAGAAGGGGGCUUGUUGGUCCAAUCCGAAGAGCACUUCUUCAAUUUGUCUAAUUUAAUUUGCUGCACGAUUAGCUUCUCUUGGAAUCCAAUUCCAGCACACCGAGUUAAACAUAAAGAGCAGAUUGUUUAUCCUCAAUAAUAAGGGGGAUAUCCUCCAGUUGUGCGUAGCAUUCGAGUCUCUUAGCGCCUUUUCCAUAGACUCAUGAGAGUCGCAUUCUAGACUUAUGCCCUUCAAGUUGUGGUGUGCAGCAAGCAAAAUACCAUGUAGCACCGCAUCUGUUUCAGCUUCCUCAACAGAGUUAUGAGAAGCAAAAAUACUAGCUCCAGCCAGUGGGAGGGGACCAACCAGAAUUCAUAUGUUGUCACACCCCAGGAUCCAUUCCGCCGUAACACGAUAUUGUCCGUUUUGGGCCCACCGGCCCUCACGGUUUUGUUUCCGGCAGCUCAAGAGUAGCUUCCCAGUAGGUCACCCAUCCUGGGAUUGCUCUAGCAUCAACAUGCUUAACCUCGGAGUACCUAUCCCCUCCGAAGCCGCUGAGCCACCAAAAUGCCUCGUGUUAGAUUGGAGGUGGGCAUGUACAUAUACAGCACAUAACCCCUCUCUGUUUGGCCGAUGUGGGAUAUUACAAUCCACCCCCCUUGGGAGUCCGACGCCCUCGUCGGCACACUCGCACCACACGGCAGAGUGGCUAUGAUACCAUUUGUCACACCCUAGGACCCAUUCCGCCGUAACACGAUAUUAUCUGCUUUGGGCCCACCGACCCUCACGAUUUUGUUUCCAGUAGCUCAGGAGCAGCUUCCCAGUAGGUCACCCAUCAUGGGAUUGCUCUAACAUCAACAUGCUUAACCUCGGAGUACUCAUCCCCUCAGAAGUCGCUGAGCCACCAAAAGACCUCGUGUUAGAUUGAAGGUGGGCAUGUACAUAUACAGCACAUAAUCCCUCUCCGUUUGGCCGAUGUGGGAUAUUACAAUCCACCCCCCUUAGGAGUCCGACGCCCUCAUCGGUACACUCGCACCACAUGGCAGAGUGUCUCUGAUACUAUUGAAACACCCCAAAAAAUAAUACCCGAAUAAAAAAAUUACCUUUUACUAGCUAAAAUUUACUAUUUUUACCGUCGUCGUAACUUUCUCCUACGAAUAAUCCUCCGCACAUAAUCGUCCCCGAAAUUCCUCUAGGGACUAAUUAAACUAUUAACUCAAUGACGGAGACGGUAAAAUUCUUAUUAUAAUUAAGCUAGUAAAUAAGGUAAAAAUAUAAGGGUCGGGAUGUGACAUACGUUACACUACAAAUCAUCCUAUAUAUGGAUAGUAUGUGAUCGACAUAUAUAGUAUGUAACACUGUGUGGAUCCCUAUAGAGAUUUUCAAUAUCUCAGUAAUUAAGAACCCUCUCAUAAUCUCAUAUACACAUUACACACACACAUCAUAUAUAUGAUGAAGAAGCGUACGGCCCCCGAUGACAUCGAGCAUUGCCAUUUCGCUGUUAGAACAGAUACUCUAAAUCUUGAGAAUUAGAUAUCCCUUUUUUCAAAGUCCACAAUUUGACAAACUUGAUUUGUAUAGUUCAGAUUCAUAUAAAUGUAGCGGGACAAGUACGUUAUAUAUUUGGUGAAAUAUAGUUGUCACCAAACAUAGCUAGCUAGUUUGUCAGAAUGAGAGAUUUUGUACGAAGAUAUAAUGUGCAUGAGAGAUUCGGCUACGAUUCUCAAACUUAAUCGCAUCACGGGUAAAUGUGAGAAGUAAACCCUAUUACCAUUUCUAGUUUCCAUCCAACUACAGAAUCCCGAAACGGAUAUGGGUCCAUUUUCUGAAUAUACCUUUUUCCUUCUCGGCCCCUCUCUCUCUCUCUCUCUCUCAUCACUACUGUUUCCUAAAGAACCUCCAUAAUACGAGACAGUAUCAAAAUACUGGGGCUAUCCUGCAAUUUUGCUCAUGAUCGAUGUGGGUUCGUUUUGUCAAGCUAGCUUUACACACAAGCUUAAUUUCCUCCUCGAUCAUUACCUAAGUGCACAAUGCCAUGUACUCGCAUGUGUGCACAAACCUAAUCGAUCACCUUCUUCUUCUUCUUUAGUUCCAGGAUCAUGAUGAUAUUUCGUCGACCAACCAUUUCUAUCGGCACUGGAAAGAGUUGCAUUGCUAAUCUUGAACUCUAGCAAUGGAUUUACUCUCAACUACUCGACCUGUACGUGAGAUCAACUUCUCAAUCUUGAACCACACGUACAAAUGACCUGUAUGUAUCGAGUUACACAAUAAAACAACGAAAAUACGAGAGCUUUGUAGUUUGUACGUACUCUACAUGGAUAACAGCUCACUUGAUUCUCAACUCCAUGCAUGAGAUCGAUUAGCUUCACAGUCUUGACCAAAGGUACAAUGACUUGGAUUGAGUUGCAUCACAACAAAACAGUUACAGCUAGCGCAUCAAGGCUCAAGCUUUGUAGUUUCUACUAUACAUCGAUCACUUUACAGCAUAUAUCCAGCUCGAUCGACUUUCACAUUUGCAAACGGAGUAUGAUCGCAGCAGUACGAGAGGGCUUGCUGCUAGCUACCUUAACUAUAUGGAUAGUAUGUGUCUAUGUGAUCGACAUAGUAUGUAACAGUGGAGAUCCCUAUAGAGAUUUCCAAUAUCUCAGAUAAUCAAGAACCCUCUCAUAGUCUCAUACACACAUCACACACACACAUCAAAUGAAGAAGCGUACGAUGACAUCGAGAAACUCAGUGUAUACUGCAUUGCCAUUUCGCUGUUAGAACAGAUACUCUAAAUCUUGAGAAUUGAAGAUAUCCCUUUUUUCAAAGUCCACAAUUUGACAAACUUGAUUUGUAUAGUUCAGAUUCAUACAUAUGUAGCGGGACAAGUACGUACGCAUCAAAUACGUUAUAUAUUUGGUGAAAUAUAGUUGUCACCAAACAUAUAUAGCUAGCUAGUUUGUCAGGGUCAUUACAGAUGUUCAAGGUUUAGAUUUUUUGACCUGGAUCAACUUCCAUGAAUAUAUAUGAAGCUGCUUCCUCAUCGAUAAUUAAGUUAAUUAGAUUUAGCUCAACCCUGACGUCAUGCAUGACGCAUACACAACGCUAUGUACGUACCUCAACUACUACUAGUAUAAACGAUGGAUAAACUGUA
rnacentral:lncRNA from 1 species